UACGUAGGAGACGAGCGUUGUCCGGAGUUACUGGGCGUAAAGGGUGCGCAGGCGGCCCUGCGCGUCGCGAGUGAAAUCUCCCGGCUCAACUGGGAGGGUGGUCGCGAGACGGCAGGGCUUGAGGCUCGGUGAGGGGCGUGGAAUUCCGGGUGGAGCGGUGAAAUGCGUAGAGAUCCGGAGGAACACCAACGGCGUAGGCAGCGCCCUAGACGAGACCUGACGCUCAGGCACGAAAGCGCGGGGAGCGAACAGGAUUAGAUACCCUGGUAGUCCGCGCCGUAAACGAUGUCCACCAGGUGUUGGGGGUAUCGACCCCUCCAGCGCCGGAGCUAACGUGAUGAGUGGACCGCCUGGGGAGUACGGCCGCAAGGUUAAA
rnacentral:rRNA from 1 species